rnacentral:rRNA from 1 species
UGGCAACGGGUGAGUAAUACAUCGGAACGUGUCCGCUCGUGGGGGACAACCAGCCGAAAGGUUGGCUAAUACCGCAUGAGUUCUACGGAAGAAAGAGGGGGACCCGCAAGGGCCUCUCGCGAGCGGAGCGGCCGAUGACUGAUUAGCCGGUUGGUGAGGUAACGGCUCACCAAAGCAACGAUCAGUAGCUGGUCUGAGAGGACGACCAGCCACACUGGGACUGAGACACGGCCCAGACUCCUACGGAAGGCAGCAG